CGGUCGGACAUCGUGAGGUUAGUGCAAUGGCAUAAGCUAGCUUGACUGCGAGAGUGACGGCUCGAGCAGGUACGAAAGUAGGUCAUAGUGAUCCGGUGGUUCUGAAUGGAAGGGCCAUCGCUCAACGGAUAAAAGGUACUCCGGGGAUAACAGGCUGAUACCGCCCAAGAGUUCAUAUCGACGGCGGUGUUUGGCACCUCGAUGUCGGCUCAUCACAUCCUGGGGCUGAAGUAGGUCCCAAGGGUAUGGCUGUUCGCCAUUUAAAGUGGUACGCGAGCUGGGUUUAGAACGUCGUGAGACAGUUCGGUCCCUAUCUGCCGUGGGCGUUGGAAGAUUGAGAGGGGCUGCUCCUAGUACGAGAGGACCGGAGUGGACGCAUCACUGGUGUUCGGGUUGUCAUGCCAAUGGCAUUGCCCGGUAGCUAAAUGCGGAAAAGAUAAGCGCUGAAAGCAUCUAAGCGCGAAACUUGCCUCGAGAUGAGUCUUCCCUGAGACCUUGAGUCUCCUAAAGGAACGUUUAAGACUAAGACGUUGAUAGGCUGGGUGUGUAAGCGUAGCGAUACGUUGAGCUAACCAGUACUAAUGAUCCGUGAGGCUUAACCUUACAACACCGAAGGUGUUU
rnacentral:rRNA from 1 species